rnacentral:rRNA from 1 species
UACGUAGGGCGCAAGCGUUGUCCGGAAUUAUUGGGCGUAAAGAGCUCGUAGGCGGCUUGUCGCGUCGGCUGUGAAAACCCGUGGCUCAACCAUGUGGUCUGCAGUCGAUACGGGCAGGCUAGAAUUCGGUAGGGGAGACUGGAAUUCCUGGUGUAGCGGUGAAAUGCGCAGAUAUCAGGAGGAACACCGGUAGCGAAGGCGGGUCUCUGGGCCGAUAUUGACGCUGAGGAGCGAAAGCGUGGGGAGCGAACAGG